rnacentral:rRNA from 1 species
GACAGAGGGUGCAAACGUUGUUCGGAAUUACUGGGCGUAAAGCGCGCGUAGGCGGACCGGCAAGUCGGGGGUGAAAGCCCGAGGCUCAACCUCGGAACUGCCUUCGAUACUGCGGGUCUCGAGUCCGGGAGAGGUGAGUGGAAUUCCUAGUGUAGAGGUGAAAUUCGUAGAUAUUAGGAAGAACACCAGUGGCGAAGGCGGCUCACUGGCUCGGUACUGACGCUGAGGCGCGAAAGCGUGGGGAGCAAACAGG